GUUUGUAAAGCGGCGAACGGGUGAGGAAUACAUUGGGUAACCUACCCUUGAGUGGGGAAUAACUAGCCGAAAGGUUAGCUAAUACCGCGUACGCUUCUUGGACUUCGGUUCAGGGAGGAAAGCGAUGCCGAGGGUAUCGCGCUCUUGGAUGGGCUCAUGUCCUAUCAGCUUGUUGGUGAGGUAACGGCUCACCAAGGCUUCGACGGGUAGCUGGUCUGAGAGGACGAUCAGCCACACUGGCACUGCGACACGGGCCAGACUCCUACGGGAGGCAGCAGUAAGGAAUAUUGCGCAAUGGGUGAAAGCCUGACGCAGCGACGCCGCGUGGGGGAUGAAGGUCUUCGGAUUGUAAACCCCUUUCGGGAGGGAAGAUGGAAUGGGGUAACCCAUUCGGACGGUACCUCCAGAAGCAGCCACGGCUAACUUCGUGCCAGCAGCCGCGGUAAUACGAAGGUGGCAAGCGUUAUUCGGAUUUACUGGGCGUACAGGGAGCGUAGGCGGUUCGGUAAGCCCUCUGUGAAAUCUCCAGGCUUAACCUGGAACAGUCGGAGGGACUGCUGGGCUAGAGGACGGGAGAGGAGCGCGGAAUUCCCGGUGUAGCGGUGAAAUGCGUAGAGAUCGGGAGG
rnacentral:rRNA from 1 species